GAUGAACGCUGGCGGCGUGCCUAAUACAUGCAAGUCGAGCGAACGGACGAGAAGCUUGCUUCUCUGAUGUUAGCGGCGGACGGGUGAGUAACACGUGGAUAACCUACCUAUAAGACUGGGAUAACUUCGGGAAACCGGAGCUAAUACCGGAUAAUAUUUUGAACCGCAUGGUUCAAAAGUGAAAGACGGUCUUGCUGUCACUUAUAGAUGGUUCCGCGCUGCAUUAGCUAGUUGGUAAGGUAACGGCUUACCAAGGCAACGAUGCAUAGCCGACCUGAGAGGGAGAUCGGCCACACUGGAACUGAGACACGGACCAGACUCCUACGGGAGGCAGCAGUAGGGAAUCUUCCGCAAUGGGCGAAAGCCUGACGGAGCAACGCCGCGUGAGUGAUGAAGGUCUUCGGAUCGUAAAACUCUGUUAUUAGGGAAGAAAAUAUGUGUAAGUAACUGUGCACAUCUUGACGGUACCUAAUCAGAAAGCCACGGCUAACUACGUG
rnacentral:rRNA from 1 species